UGAGGCAGACAAAAGCUGUCAGG
rnacentral:piRNA from 1 species